rnacentral:lncRNA from 1 species
UAAGAAUAGCCUUCCUACAUGGGAUAGUCAGGUUAAGAUUAGAAAUAACCAAGCGUAUCCUCUAAGAUAGUUUUUUAAAUGUUUAAACUUACCUUUAAGGGAAAUAAGUGGGGGCUGACUCACGGAAAGAGGGGAUAGAAGGUAGGGAAAGGGCGAAGGCUAGAGUUAAGUGAAGAAUCCCGUACGUAGAGUGACAUCAUAGAGGACUUUUGGCUGGUGAAAAGACCAGUCGGGAAUAUA